ensembl:snRNA U6 U6 spliceosomal RNA
UCUUGCUUCAGCAGCACAUAACCAAAGUUGGAAAAAUCCAGAGGAGAUUAGCCUGGCUCCUGUUCAAGAAUGAUAUGCAAGUUUAUGAGGCAUUCCAUAUUUAA